CGAACAUUGUAGUGCGUUAGGCAUGUUUAAUUAAAACGUACACUCGGACGCUUAGGACAUAUAUACAAUUUAGCUCCACACGUGAGCCUUGAGUGUAUAGUAAGUCAUAAAACUUCAUAAUAUAUAUACUUACUAUAACAUAAGAAGAUUGUUUAUAGUAAGUCAUAAUAUAAGUUUGCAGGUCUUUCAUAUAUUUGCAAUGAGUAGUCUCUAUUCCACCAUCAACAUGAGUGUUCACUUGUUGAAGGACUCCUCA
rnacentral:lncRNA from 1 species